AUGACAGAUUGUCAGGGUCCUGGGCUGUCUGUGGUGGCACCUCGUUCGACCUCUCUGGGUAAGAGGACCCUGAAGGCAGCUCCCGCCUGGCACCAGAAGAGCGCAGGGACUCCUCUAGGCAGGGACCUCUCUCCUGGAUCCUAUGGGAUGCUUCAUGUGCUUGCGGUCAGGUUAAACAAACAGCAGCUCUGCCACUGCCACGGUGAGGAGGAGAGGGCUAAUGUAUUAUUUAAAUAAUAUCCCUGCAACAUUUAAGAAAGAACAAUGCAGAGGAUUGAAUGAAUUAUUAUAAUUUAAAGUCUAUUGUGCUUAUAGAAUAAGAGCGAGCAUAUUCAUCGGUCCAUAUGUCUCAACAGUUGGCUGGAAAUGUAGUCAAAAUUUUACCCAACCCUCUCUAGUUUCCCUAACCAGUGUGCAGUUUCUCUGAGAUACCCAUAUGUUCACAGUUAACUUUAUCUAUUAAAUUGAUUUGGAAAUUAAUUUGGCAACACAAAAUCCCAUAGGAUAAGGAAGUCAACAUCUUCAUCUACCCUCCUUUUUGAACAGGUCAUGACUUAGGCUAAGGUUAGAAAAUCAGAACUUGAGUUUUCACUGUAAUUUGAAUUUCCUCCCCCAGCCUCCUGGCAAGUUGUAGGAAUACAGUUAUUGCCCUACAGAAAUUAUAAUUUUCCUAGUCUGGCAUCCCAUUCCUGGCAGUGAUCUACAGCAGAUGCUCCAGCAGAAGACAAAAACAUUAGGAACCAAAUGGCAACAAAAUUAUGUGCAGGAAUGUCCUCAUUCCCUGAGACACUUCUUCCACAGCAGGCUUGGGCAGUGGGAGAGCUCUCCAGCAGGAGAGAGAACACCUUUCUACAAGCCCAUAGCAAGACACUCCAGGUAUGUUGGUAUGUACACCUGAUUUCAUGCUCCUUGUCUAGCCAGA
rnacentral:lncRNA from 1 species